UGAUGUCAGGGACAAAAAGUACAGAGCCGUUUGUGCUUGCACAAAAAGGCUUUGUACUUUGGGUCCCGCAAAACACGAGCAAGUAGCGUUGUUACGCGGAUUGCGAGUGUUUUAGAAUUGCGAGAGCCGCCCAGCGGCGAAGCAAUUCGUGACAUCA
rnacentral:sRNA from 1 species